rnacentral:misc_RNA from 1 species
UAAAGUGCGAUAUCUAGUGUGAUUUGCAUGAAUCUGUGAGUCAUCAAGUUUUUGAACGCAACUUGCACCUCUUGGGUCAACUAAGAGGUAUGUCUGUUUGAGUACCUAAUCUCCAUCUUGCCUUUGUGAGGCAGACUUGAGGCCACAUCUAUCUCGUAAGAGGCAGGUAGGCUUUGAAAUAGAGUACGCUAGGAGGUGACGAAGCCCCUUGGUUAUGUGCUGGAGGCCUUUGGUCUUGUCAUAGCCAAGUGCUUAUGGUACCUCGCUGCUUGCUUGCUUCACCAAGCAAGUAGCAAUGCCACAAAAAUUGGUCUCAAAUCAGACAAGAUUACCCGCUGAACUUAA